GAAGCAGCAAACAGCAGCACAGAAGAAAUGGUGGACAGGCAUCUGUCAAAAGGUUCUCCUGUAGCGUGCCACGCCUCUGAUAUCCUUGGGUUUUAGUUUUUAAGGAUGUAGCGAUUGCUUCCCUUCCCUGCGCUUCAGCAUCCUACAGCAUAAACAUAAACUAGGCUUCCUACAUGAUAUAAGACGGGCCCAAGGAAAAUACAUAGAGAUUGAACUCAUAAUGUUUCGCUCUCUCCAUCAUUAACUGCACACACACAGGGCAUUCACUGGUGCCUGAGAGUGGGUUAGACCUUCGGUAUGUGUCCAUGCAGAACCUGCUUCAGAGGUCCUCUUGUGACUUAGCUCUAGUCUUACUCCUUAUCCCUGCCAGAACGACUUACAAGUCCUCAACAGGUGCAGGAGGAAAGGGCCAACUCAAGAGAACACAACCAAUUCACCUUCCUUUUUAAAAAUCGUAUUCAGAACUGUACAACUGUCUUUCUCACUCCAUCCUGUGAGUAGCAGGAAGUAAUAAAUACAUACAGAGCGUACAAUUCCAAUUCCAUUCUUCCACUUUAACAUCAUCAUCAUGAACAACCACGACACAAUGUGGCUUUGUUAUUAGAUCAUGUCCCUGGGUAUUCUAGAUGGUUCACAAGGAAUUUUUUUUUUCUAACAAGAAAACAGCAUCAGAAGUCAUUUGUCUGAGCUGUUUCAUGCUUUCCUUGUCUAUCUGGCUGAUACCCGAUAAAGCAGCAAGGGAAGGGGACACAGGAUAGACAGGAGGUUGCAAAAGGAGCACAUUUUGCCAUAGAUAAAACUUCUUUUUCCGGAUGAGAAGGGGGAAGAGGCGCAGGCUGCUGAGUGCUCCUGAGCCUGUGGCCCUUUCUCUCUGCUCACCGUGAUGGCUAGGCACAGUUGCAGCUAAGAUACACAGUGAGUGCUUUCACGGUCCCUGCUGAUUAAUGAGAGUAAAAUGAUGUGGACUCUAUGUAAUGCUGACGUCUUGGUUUAAAUGCAGAAGAAAAUCGAAACAUAACAGAGACACUGAGAGGCAAAGUAAG
rnacentral:lncRNA from 1 species